rnacentral:rRNA from 1 species
CCUACGGGUGGCAGCAGUGAGGAAUAUUGGUCAAUGGACGCAAGUCUGAACCAGCCAUGCCGCGUGCAGGAAGACGGCUCUCUGAGUUGUAAACUGCUUUUGUACGAGGGUAAACGCAGAUACGCGUAUCUGUCUGAGAGUAUCGUACGAAUAAAGAUCGGCGAAGACCGUCCCAGCAGCGGCGGUAAUACGGAGGAUUCAAGCGUUAUCCGGAUUUAUUGGAGUUAAAGGGUGCGUAGGCGGUCGGAUAAGUUAGAGGUGAAAUACCGAGGCUCAACUUCGGAAUUGCCUCUGAUACUGUUCGGCUAGAUAGCAGUCGCGGUAGGCGGAAUGUAUGGUGUAGCGGUGAAAUGCUUAGAGAUCAUACAGAACACCGAUUGCGAAGGCAGCUUACCAAGCUACUUCUGACGCUGAGGCACGAAAGCGUGGGGAGCAAACAGGAUUAGAUACCCGGGUAGUC